rnacentral:rRNA from 1 species
CCUACGGGAGGCAGCAGUAAGGAACAUUGGUCAAUGGACGCAAGUCUGAACCAGCCAUGCCGCGUGAAGGAUUAAGGUCCUCUGGAUUGUAAACUUCUUUUAUUUGGGACGAAAAAGGGCCUUUCUAGGUCAACUGACGGUACCAGAUGAAUAAGCACCGGCUAACUCCGUGCCAGCAGCCGCGGUAAUACGGAGGGUGCAAGCGUUAUCCGGAUUCACUGGGUUUAAAGGGUGCGUAGGCGGGUAGGUAAGUCAGUGGUGAAAUCCUAGAGCUUAACUCUAGAACUGCCAUUGAUACUAUCUAUCUUGAAUAUUGUGGAGGUAAGCGGAAUAUGUCAUGUAGCGGUGAAAUGCUUAGAUAUGACAUAGAACACCUAUUGCGAAGGCAGCUUACUACGCAUAUAUUGACGCUGAGGCACGAAAGCGUGGGGAUCAAACAGGAUUAGAUACCCUGGUAGUCCACGCCCUAAACUAUGAUUACUCGACAUUUGAGAUACACAUUAAGUGUUCUGAGAGAAGACAUAAGUAAUACCACCUAGGAGUACGUACCGCGAGAGAGAACGUACGAAAGAAAGUAGUACGGACGUGAGAGUACGACCGACGGACGACGACGAGGGGAGGAGG